CAGUCGCCACGGGAAUACGGAGGGUGCAAGCGUUAAUCGGAAUUACUGGGCGUAAAGCGCACGCAGGCGGUUUGAUAAGUCAGAUGUGAAAUCCCCGGGCUUAACCUGGGAACUGCAUUUGAAACUGUCAGGCUGGAGUCUUGUAGAGGGGGGUGGAAUUCCAGGUGUAGCGGUGAAAUGCGUAGAGAUCUGGAGGAAUACCGGUGGCGAAGGCAGCCCCCUGGACAAAGACUGACGCUCAGGUGCGAAAGCGUGGGGAGCAAACAGGAUUAGAUACCCCUGUAGUCCCUGUCUCUUAUAC
rnacentral:rRNA from 1 species